rnacentral:rRNA from 1 species
UGGCUGUCGUCAGCUCGUGUCGUGAGAUGUUGGGUUAAGUCCCGUAACGAGCGCAACCCUUGUCCUUAGUUACCAGCACGUAAUGGUGGGCACUCUAAGGAGACUGCCGGUGACAAACCGGAGGAAGGUGGGGAUGACGUCAAGUCAUCAUGGCCCUUACGGCCUGGGCUACACACGUGCUACAAUGGUCGGUACAGAGGGUUGCCAAGCCGCGAGGUGGAGCUAAUCCCACAAAACCGAUCGUAGUCCGGAUCGCAGUCUGCAACUCGACUGCGUGAAGUCGGAAUCGCUAGUAAGCGCGAAUCAGAAUGGUCGCGGUGAAGCACGUUCCCGGGAUUGCACAACACGAG